rnacentral:rRNA from 1 species
UACGGAGGAUGCAAGCGUUAUCCGGAAUUAUUGGGCGUAAAGCGUCCGCAGGUGGCACUUCAAGUCUGUCGUCAAAGACCGGGGCUUAACCCUGGAAAGGCGAUGGAAACUGAAAGGCUAGAGAGAGGUAGGGGUAGAGGGAAUUCCCAGUGUAGCGGUGAAAUGCGUAGAGAUUGGGAAGAACAUCGGUGGCGAAAGCGCUCUGCUGGACUGCAACUGACACUCAGGGACGAAAGCUAGGGGAGCGAAUGGG